ACAAGCGGUGGAGCAUGUGGUUAAUUCGAAGCAACGCGCAGAACCUUACCAGCCCUUGACAUACCGGUCGCGGACACAGAGAUGUGUCUUUCAGUUCGGCUGGACCGGAUACAGGUGCUGCAUGGCUGUCGUCAGCUCGUGUCGUGAGAUGUUGGGUUAAGUCCCGCAACGAGCGCAACCCUCGCCCUUAGUUGCCAGCAUUUAGUUGGGCACUCUAAGGGGACUGCCGGUGAUAAGCCGAGAGGAAGGUGGGGAUGACGUCAAGUCCUCAUGGCCCUUACGGGCUGGGCUACACACGUGCUACAAUGGUGGUGACAGUGGGCAGCGAGCACGCGAGUGUGAGCUAAUCUCCAAAAGCCAUCUCAGUUCGGAUUGCACUCUGCAACUCGAGUGCAUGAAGUUGGAAUCGCUAGUAAUCGCGGAUCAGCAUGCCGUGGUGAAUACGUUCCCGGGCCUU
rnacentral:rRNA from 1 species